AGGGGAUUCUGUUUGGAGCAUCAGCACAGAAAUGAUCCAGACAGAAGACAAACACUCGACUGCUGGCUUCCCUGUGCAACAAGAUACCGGGUAUUCGUAUGGCUGCAGAGUGAUGGCUUUGCGUCCCUGGUGCUCCAUCGGCAGCAGUCCAAACCCAAUCUGUAUGACAUAUAGAGGCCAUUUCAGCCUUUCGAGAGUGCAGCCAUCACGAAGUGGAAUAUAUCAGUAACCAUGCUGGAGCCGACCUUUGCAACCUAAGACGUUGGUGAUUUGUGGAGGCUUGUUAAAGUUGGAUCUUCCACACAAGAAGGACAUGGAUCUGUUAGAGUGUGUCCAGAGGAGGCCACAAAGAUGAUCAGAGGGCUGGAGCACCUGCCUGGGGUUGUUCCGCCUGGAGAAGAGAAGGCUCUGGGGAGACCUUGGAGCACGUUCCAGCACUUAAAGGGGCUCCAAGAAAGCUGGUGAGGGGCUCUUGAUCAGGGAGUGCAGGAAGAGGAACUGUUUUAAGCUGAAAGAGAGUUGUGUGGAGGAGACCCGUGUGCUGCGUGACCACGCUCUGCUUGCAUUGAAGUCCAUUUUCCCUGGAAGUAAACUCCAAAACUGAAAAAGCGAAAAAGGAACCCCCAAAUGGGAGGAGAAUAAGGGUCUGAUGUGUGCGUCACUGCGCAGUCUGCCCAGCUGCAGCAGCAGCCAGCUCCGUGCCAAAGGCUCCUCGGCUGAUCCGUGAAAAGAAUCAACAAGGCCUGUACUUAGCUGGGCU